rnacentral:tRNA from 1 species
GGCCCUGUAGUUCAACGGAUAGAAUAAGUCAUUCCUAAUGAUUAGAUCCAAGUUCGAUUCUUGGCGGGGCUA